rnacentral:rRNA from 1 species
GUGCCAGCCGCCGCGGUAAUACGUAGGUGGCAAGCGUUGUCCGGAUUUAUUGGGCGUAAAGCGAGCGCAGGCGGUUUCUUAAGUCUGAUGUGAAAGCCCCCGGCUCAACCGGGGAGGGUCAUUGGAAACUGGGAGACUUGAGUGCAGAAGAGGAGAGUGGAAUUCCAUGUGUAGCGGUGAAAUGCGUAGAUAUAUGGAGGAACACCAGUGGCGAAGGCGGCUCUCUGGUCUGUAACUGACGCUGAGGCUCGAAAGCGUGGGGAGCGAACAGGAUUAGAUACCCUGGUAGUCCACGCCGUAAACGAUGAGUGCUAAGUGUUGGAGGGUUUCCGCCCUUCAGUGCUGCAGCAAACGCAUUAAGCACUCCGCCUGGGGAGUACGACCGCAAGGUUGAAACUCAAAGGAAUUGACGGGGGCCCGCACAAGCGGUGGAGCAUGUGGUUUAAUUCGAAGCAACGCGAAGAACCUUACCAGGUCUUGACAUCCUUUGACCACUCUAGAGAUAGAGCUUCCCCUUCGGGGGCAAAGUGACAGGUGGUGCAUGGUUGUCGUCAGCUCGUGUCGUGAGAUGUUGGGUUAAGUCCCGCAACGAGCGCAACCCUUAUUGUUAGUUGCCAUCAUUUAGUUGGGCACUCUAGCGAGACUGCCGGUCGACAACCGGAGGAAGGUGGGGAUGACGUCAAAUCAUCAUGCCCCU